GAGAGUCACCCCCGAGAGCGAGCAGCCAGCUGGGAAGCAAAGGGCAGACUUAGGAGGGGCCAUCUCAGAGGAGGACUCAAGGACUGCAGCAGCGUGAGCUAUGGGCCCAGAAGGAAGGCUGUGAUACUCCAGACCAAGGAGGGGAAACUGAGUGGUCAGCUUGCCGCUGCCUUGAUUAAUCCAUUGAUGGUAAAAGGGUUUGAAGACAAAAGAAGAAAUAAUGCUCACUCGUGUGUGUCGAAAAGAAAAUUACCGAUAUAAUCUCCCCGGGUUUGGAGAAGAAAUCUAAAUCGAACCUGCCAAGAUCAGAAAGAGACCCCUUACCUGUUGGACGAAGCGCGUGGAGGAGGAAGGGUUGGGAAGCCUAAGGAAGAGGCCUGCUGGAGCCCUGUUCAGUGUUGUCCAACCAAAGUUUCUUCAUGCAAUCAGAAAUGAAAGCUUCCUGCUCAGUCCGCAGUCCCACUGCUCCCCCACGGCGCAGCAGGGGCUGAUCAACACCCCCGCUUCACUGAAGAGUGCUGCAGGAACCCAGUGGUCCUAGUUGUGAUCUCGCUCCCAGUCCAGGCGGUUUCAUGCCUUGCCUGAGUGUGGCCGCCUUGCUCAGGGAUGCUGCAUCUCAGCCAGCACUGGCAAGACUGAUGAAGAUCUCCCCAGCGCUUACACUAAACCCUGACGACAUGAAGGGAGUAGGGGGAGGAGGCACUGGCGGAAUCAUCUAGUUAGUGAUGGCGGUGGGGGGUGCUCGGGGUCUGGGGACAGAGGGUUCAUUUUACAAAUAGAUCCGCUAACUCUGGCUUCAGUCAGGCUCCUCUUCUGUGGGGAGCUAAUGGAGCCACUUCCCCAGAUUGUAAAGCACCAGAGCAUCAUGAUUUAUUCACCAGCCCUUCCAGGGCACAGCUCAUCUGGAGCAGGAGCAUCUUAUGUACGAGAGUGCUUGGGGGAAGCACGGGGAAUGGAAGCAAAUGUCCGGGAACUUAAAAUAAAGGGGAAGGGGCUACAAUGCGCAUGCACAUGCGCGCACACACACGCAAUCUCUUCCUCUGGCACACACUGACACACAGACAAAGAUACAAUCUCUCCCUGUGGGGGGACACACAGAUAGAAUCUCUCCUCCUGGACACUGACACAAGCACACAGAUACAAUCUGUUCCUGUGGACAUAUGCUCUCUCUCUCCCCCUCUGGACAGAUUCCAUUUGUCAUCGUGUGAGUUAAUUCCCUCAGGCUUGGGAGUCCGUUAUGUCCAUCAGUGGUAUUAUUAUUUAGUGUCUGUAUUGCAGUGGCACCCAGCCAGGAAUGGGGCUCCCGUUCUUUGUGCUAGGAGCUGUGCACACACGUCUGGUUCUGAUCCAGCAUGGGAAUUCGUACGUUCCUCUGUGUGUGUGUGUGUGGGUCCAGUUCACUUUCUGCCUGUUGGGUUAUGAGAUUGAAAUUUGCAAAGAAAUAGCAGAAGCUUGUUCUGGGCGCCGGGGAGUGGGCGGGAUGGGUCAUUAGAUCUGAUGUUUUAGGACAUUUGAGCUUGUAGCAAAGCUGAAGCUACCACAGCAGGGCAGGAGGGAAUGUGCAUCGACCACUAGGGUGUGCAUGAGUCAACCGAAAAGCUGGCCUUGGUUAAGGGAAGGACCAGAGCCCACAAGCCGUCUCACGUUCUGUAUAGCAGGGAUUAUCGAUUCAUCUUUAUCGGGCCAUCUGCGCACAAAGGAGGCUCCAGAUUAGAAACCAACACUGAGCCUGUGAGGCCAGGGGGAGUUAAUUUACAAACCUGCGGUUCAUUUUUAGAGCUGUAAAAAACCAACAGAUUUCUGGCAGGGUCGGAGCUUGAAGGGCUGGAUACAGAAUUCCAGGGGAGCGGUGAAACGUAUGGGGUGUGUGUGUGUGUGUGUGUGUGGGCAAGAGGGGGCGCUCUUUCCGCUGACCCCGGGAGCUUUCCUAGCAGGCUUUUGACUGACACGGCAACUUCUGUGUCUUUCAAACAUGCCCCUUGCGCCCGCUUCUGCCGUGGGAAUCCAAGGCUGGAAACUCAAGGCAGGUCUAAAGAACCAUGGGAGGGGAAUUCCCCUCUGUGCAGAGGGACAGGAAUAGCCCUGGGCACCCCCGGUCCAUCUAAGGGUCCGAUUGGUCCCCAAGGCCUGCCUCCAUCGCCAACUUGUUACGUUUUCCAAUGAGCACCUUCCUGCUUUCUCCCCUGCUGCCCCUCACUCCCCUAGUCGUCCACAGAGCUACCUCCUACCCCUGCUUCAAACUCUCCUCUGCUAGGAUGCCAAGAACAGACUCGACAAUGGUCAUGCAGCUGCUGUGCAGAGCAGGGGUGC